GAUGAACGCUAGCGGCAGGCUUAACACAUGCAAGUCGAGGGGUAGAAGGAGCUUGCUCCUUUGAGACCGGCGCACGGGUGCGUAACGCGUAUGCAAUCUACCUUUUGCAGAGGAUAGCCCAGAGAAAUUUGGAUUAAUACCUCAUAGUAUGUGAGGAUGGCAUCAUUUUCACAUUAAAGUCACAACGGCAAAAGAUGAGCAUGCGUCCCAUUAGCUAGUUGGUAAGGUAACGGCUUACCAAGGCUACGAUGGGUAGGGGUCCUGAGAGGGAGAUCCCCCCACACUGGUACUGAGACACGGACCAGACUCCUACGGGAGGCAGCAGUGA
rnacentral:rRNA from 1 species